rnacentral:rRNA from 1 species
AGUCGUAACAAGGUCUCCGUAGGUGAACCUGCGGAGGGAUCAUUACACAAAUAUGAAGGCGGGCUGGAACCUCUCGGGGUUACAGCCUUGCUGAAUUAUUCACCCUUGUCUUUUGCGUACUUCUUGUUUCCUUGGUGGGUUCGCCCACCACUAGGACAAACAUAAACCUUUUGUAACUGCAAUCAGCGUCAGUAACAAAUUAAUAAUUACAACUUUCAACAACGGAUCUCUUGGUUCUGGCAUCGAUGAAGAACGCAGCGAAAUGCGAUAAGUAGUGUGAAUUGCAGAAUUCAGUGAAUCAUCGAAUCUUUGAACGCACAUUGCGCCCUUUGGUAUUCCAAAGGGCAUGCCUGUUCGAGCGUCAUUUGUACCCUCAAGCUUUGCUUGGUGUUGGGCGUCUUGUCUCUAGCUUUGCUGGAGACUCGCCUUAAAGUAAUUGGCAGCCGGCCUACUGGUUUCGGAGCGCAGCACAAGUCGCACUCUCUAUCAGCAAAGGUCUAGCAUCCAUUAAGCCUUUUUUUUCAACUUUUGACCUCGGAUCAGGUAGGGAUACCCGCUGAACUUAAGCAUAUCAAUAAAGUCG